rnacentral:rRNA from 1 species
GACGAACGCUGGCGGCGUGCUUAACACAUGCAAGUCGAACGGAAAGGCCCUGCUUGCAGGGUACUCGAGUGGCGAACGGGUGAGUAACACGUGGGUGAUCUGCCCUGCACUUCGGGAUAAGCCUGGGAAACUGGGUCUAAUACCGGAUAGGAGCCAUUUUUAGUGUGAUGGUUGGAAAGUUUUUUCGGUGUAGGAUGAGUUCGCGGCGUAUCGGCUUGCUGCUGGGGUUAUGGCCUACCAAGGCGGCUGCGGGUAGCCGGACUGAGAGGGUGGACGGCGACACUGGGACUUAGGUACGGCACAGACUGCGACGGGAGGGAGCAGUGGGGAAGAUUGAACAAUGGGCGCAAGGCGGAUGCAGCGACGCCGCGUGGGGGAUGACUGUCUUAGGGUUGUAAACUCCUUUCGCUAGGGACGAAGCUUUUUGUGACGGUACCUAGAUAAGAAGCACCGGCUAACUACGUG